AUUGAACGCUGGCGGCAGGCCUAACACAUGCAAGUCGAGCGGAUGAAGGGAGCUUGCUCCUGGAUUCAGCGGCGGACGGGUGAGUAAUGCCUAGGAAUCUGCCUGGUAGUGGGGGAUAACGUCCGGAAACGGGCGCUAAUACCGCAUACGUCCUGAGGGAGAAAGUGGGGGAUCUUCGGACCUCACGCUAUCAGAUGAGCCUAGGUCGGAUUAGCUAGUUGGUGGGGUAAAGGCCUACCAAGGCGACGAUCCGUAACUGGUCUGAGAGGAUGAUCAGUCACACUGGAACUGAGACACGGUCCAGACUCCUACGGGAAGCAGCAGUGGGGAAUAUUGGACAAUGAGCGAAAGCCUGAUCCAGCCAUGCCGCGUGUGUGAAGAAGGUCUUCGGAUUGUAAAGCACUUUAAGUUGGGAGGAAGGGCAGUAAGUUAAUACCUUGCUGUUUUGACGUUACCAACAGAAUAAGCACCGGCUAACUUCGUG
rnacentral:rRNA from 1 species